ACAAUUCAGUUUAGCUGUUAGUCCCUUCGGUAUAUUUCGUUUUGCUUCGGUUCGCUUCGGUUGUUCGCAUUUACCUGAUACUACAGUGGAGGCGUAACUGAACGUACAUAAGACAGUAAUGCUCCAUCUGUGCGAUGUCAACGACUGCUACAGACCGUGACAUAGUGAUUCAGAAACUCGGGAAAGAUUCGUUUUUUUUUUAUUACUCGAAAAUAUGCAAACGGAUAUAACGGAAAAGAGUUAACGACUUCGAGGAAACUAAUUUUCACCAAGAUACGACCAGGAAGAGUGGACCUCCAGCCAUUCCCCAUAAAUGGCGCACCUUCUCGAGUAUCCAGUUAUCCGUUCUUGCAUUACGAACUUGUUACGCGGAGUUUUAUAAAUGCGAAUCAUCCUUGUCCUCCUUAGUUAUCUGAAUUUUCAAACGUUUUAAUCCUCCCAUUUUUAUUCUCUCUCAGAAUAAAUCAAACCGUUUCUAAAUUUCUACAACGUAAAAAGAAUUUGCGUGGAAUUUCGAAUAUCUCGAGUUUUCAUUAUUCUUACGAAUUAAAUUAUUUUCAGAUUUCCUUUUGCGUAUUCCUAAUCGAUCGCAUUGGGAAUAUUUUGUCUAAUAAUAAAAAUGGGAUGCAUAGAAAUUUUCGAAUUAAAAGAUGGAUUGCAAAGGAUGGAUCUCUUCGAAUGAAAAAUAUAUGCAUAUUAGUCGAUGACAAUUUUUAAUAUAUUAAAGCGGAAAGUGGAGCGGAAACGCGGAGAAGCGUGUCUACCCUUCGUGAUUACGCACUGUCAUUUAAACUUCAUGCAAGAGAGAACAAUGGCUUUCCCUAAGUCGUUAAUUUAAUUAAUUAUUAUACGCAUGAUAAAACGUGUGCAUCACGUUCCUUACUGUUCCAUCCAAUUUUUCUUAUUCUGACCCAGUCUCCUGAAAAUAUGAAAGCGUUGAAUCGAUGAUUUCUUCGUUUGACAAUUACUACAAUUUAAUUGAAAUUUUCUGCCUAGAAUCUCGGAAAUAUACUUUUUUUCGUUAAAGAUAGAAUUGUAUUUCUCAGAGAAAAUAAAAAAUUAACUAGGAUAAUAUUCUUCGCUAUAUUUGAUAUUUUCGUUCGAUAUGUUCAGGAUAGUUUCACUUGCCAUCAAUUUAUUAGAUUUAUAAUUACAUAUUUCUAAAUGACUACAAUCGAUUAACAUGUAUCCACGAUUUAUCAUUAUUUGACGUUUCAAUGAAGAAGUAUAAGGGAACUGGAUCAUGCAUAUGAAUGUUAAUUACGUUUGUGAAAUAAGUGUCAU